GGAUGCUACCUCCGCAAAGGAGAGGAAGGGGAAGAAUUUUACUACCAAAAGUGUUUCGGAAACAUUAAGAAAAGCAAAGUGAAAUUCGGUAGACUCCGACCACUGAGUCUGUUACAUGUACCUGUGUAUUUUGAAUCUCCAAGACAGUACCACAGGUCUGGAUCUUCCCCCUCCCUCUCCACAAGGCUCCUAUCAAAUUCCAGCUCUUCCAGGAAGUCCUCUUACAAAUUCCUCAGGUCCUCCAUGUUGGUCAAUGGAUAGAAAGGCUGAGCUGGUAUCAGCUGGUUCCAUGGCUGAUCGGCUGGCUGGACAAAACGGCUGACUACAUGGAGAGUCAUCGAAAGCUGAUGUUGUUUAGAGCUCCAUAAUCCACAGAGCCGAAACCAGAGGUUCCUGAAGAAG